rnacentral:lncRNA from 1 species
ACACACACACACACACACACACACACACACACACACACACACACACUUGAGUCUAGCCAUCCAAAUAAUUGUGAUUUAUGUCUGCCAUAAACAGACUAGUUGAUGGAGAAAUUGUCCAUUAAGGCACUCUACAUAAGCCAUUUAGAGGCAUUAUGUCAUGUCUGUCUCUAUCUGUCUGUUGGUGAUAUAAUAGACAUUCCAAUACAUGGUGAAGUUUUAGGCAGCCCGUGGGCCAAAUUCGACCCGUGUGUGGUUUUAUUUUGCCCACCCAAGAUUUCGGAGCAAAAAACAUGGUUUUAUAUCAUUUUUGUUCUUUGACAUAAGACUGUAAAAUCACCAGGAAAUUAGCUCAAAGUGAUUUUAAUUUAGGAAAUCUGUUUCCAAGUAUUCUCACGCAUAGCUAUAGGCAUAUGUGAUCGUAUCCCAAUUUAAUCAAGGUGUGAAAUGAUUGUUUUUGUGAAAUACUAUAUCUGUUUGGGAUUCUUGCGGUCAAUUUGCAUGGUACUAAUUAUUUAUAACUAUUUUCCGGACCCCCAACCAUCUGCUCAAGGAAAAGUAGGCCCACGACUUAGUAAUUGGGGGCCCCUGCAGUACAGGGUAGCCACUACUGAAGAUGGCCAUGGUAGAGAGAACUAAAUUGAGUUUGUCUGUCACUGUAUGACAAUGUUUUUGGCAAACAUGCACACAAACAUACACACACCCUGUGGAUAGCCUCCUGCCACACUCCUGGCUGUCCUGACUGCGGCCUCAACGGUGUCCAUACUACUGAACUCUCCUGUUUUUAACAAUCAUGUAAAUGCUGGAAAAUAAACUUAUUGCGAUGACCUCUUUUUGUUCAUAGUCUAGGUGCCACAAUAACUUUUAUUUGUGUUAAUGUACUCUAAAAUCUGAUUUGAGUAUUUUUAUAAAGUAAAAGUAUAUUAGUGGUAUCUAAUUUUGCAUGUCUAAUGAAGUCCUUGAAGUUUGAUUCAUUGUGUAAGAAGUAAGGGUAUGUGAUGUGUUCUACUGUUAAUGAAUACAACCUGUUUCUCUUUCUCUGUAAGACUUGAAUGUAAAUACAUAUAGAGAGUGUUGCUUUGUGUCUAGCAGCAUGUAUCUAUUAUUGCCAUGACUGUCAGCUUGUUGCCUGAGAUAAACAGUACUGCACAAUAAACUGAACUACAGUGAAAAAC